rnacentral:rRNA from 1 species
ACGCUCGACACCUACGGGAGGUAGCAGUGGGGAAUAUUGCACAAUGGGGGAAACCCUGAUGCAGCGACGCCGCGUGAGCGAAGAAGUAUUUCGGUAUGUAAAGCUCUAUCAGCAGGGAAGAAACUGACGGUACCUGACUAAGAAGCACCGGCUAAAUACGUGGCAGCAGCCGCGGUAAUCUGAGCGGGCUGGCAAGGC